AAAUCAAAUGAUGAUUUUUUAUUAUAAAUUUCUCACGAUGCUCAUCUGAGACGCUCAUGGUGUCCAUGCUGAUUCAAUAAUCCAAUGCUUCUGAUGGUU